rfam:Babesia microti strain RI apicoplast complete genome
GUUAGUAUAAUUUAAAGUUAAAAUAUUAAUUUUCCAAAUUAAAUAUGAGAGUUAAAAUCUCUUUACUAAUA